GUUCCUGUAGAGCAAAGUGGACAGCUCACUGGAUUUCUAAUCCAAAGGUCGUAGGUUCGAAUCCCAUCUGAAAUA